CGACUCAAUGAUCCAACAACCAGGAUUAUUUUACAUUAAAAUUUUAGGAUUUUAGGUCUUAUUGACAUGAACUCCACAUGCCCAUAAAGCCAUUGCCCUAAUCUAUGGAGUUCAUCAUAAUCUUAAAAAUUAAUUAAGAUACAGUAAAUGAUGAAACAUAAAAAUGCAACUUUAUUACUGAAUAAUAAUAAAUAUCAUACAUGAGUUGGGAGUAAUUACAGAAAAGAUCCUAUCACAUAUCAAAUGCAAUUGGCUUGCAGGACACAAUUCUUUCAAUUCUUUGGCCAGCUACUAGUUUUUCUCGAAGUUCACCGAUCUCGUGAGGAGUUGAAAAUUUCAUCAUUAGGUGAUAAGUUGAUACCAUAGCUCGUAAAGAAUUCAAGUC
rnacentral:lncRNA from 1 species